UACGGAGGGCGCGAGCGUUAAUCGGAAUUACUGGGCGUAAUGCGCGCGUAGGCUGUUGUGUAAGUUGGGGGUGAAAUCCCACGGCUCAACCGUGGAACAGCCCUUGAUACUGCGCGACUUGAAUCCGGGAGAGGGUGGCGGAAUUCCAGGUGUAGGAGUGAAAUCCGUAGAUAUCUGGAGGAACAUCAGUGGCGAAGGCGGCCACCUGGACCGGUAUUGACGCUGAGGCGCGAAAGCGUGGGGAGCAAACAGG
rnacentral:rRNA from 1 species